UGGAGCGUAACCGAGUGGUCAAAGGUAUCAGACUUUUAAUCUGACGCGAAAUGCUUCGGGGGUUCGAAUCCCCCCGCUCCAACCA
rnacentral:tRNA from 1 species